GCAGACUAUCAUGGGUCAAGUAAAAGAGAAUCUUGAGUCAAUCCUUACAGUGAGAAGGACUCCAAGCCCUCUUUGAUUAUGAAGGUAUUGUGUAAGUAAUGAAGGAAAUUUUACACUAACUGGUUCUACUGAGCCAUGCCCUGAUCAAUGUUCAAAUGAAUCAGUUAUUUGUUCUGUUUUUCCAGUGCCAUCGGAACAUCUACAGAUGACACUGUAUGGAGUGCAAUGGAGGUAAUAGCAAUUGUGUCAAGGCUUACAGUGAUGGACCUGGUAUUGAAGAUACAGAUCUUGCUCUAUAUGUAUAUGGUAUUAAUGUCAACUG